GUGCUUGCUUUGGCAGCACAUAUACUAAGAACUGGAAUGAAACAGAAGAGAGUAGCAUGGCCCCUACACAAGAAUGACACACAAAUUCAUGAAGCGUUUCAUAUUUUA
ensembl:snRNA U6 U6 spliceosomal RNA